rnacentral:rRNA from 1 species
GUGAACGCUGGCGGUAGGCCUAACACAUGCAAGUCGAACGGCAGCACAGUAAGCGCUUGCUCUUACGGGUGGCGAGUGGCGGACGGGUGAGGAAUACAUCGGAAUCUACUUUUUCGUGGGGGAUAACGUAGGGAAACUUACGCUAAUACCGCAUACGACCUACGGGUGAAAGCAGGGGAUCUUCGGACCUUGCGCGAUUGAAUGAGCCGAUGUCGGAUUAGCUAGUUGGCGGGGUAAAGGCCCACCAAGGCGACGAUCCGUAGCUGGUCUGAGAGGAUGAUCAGCCACACUGGAACUGAGACACGGUCCAGACUCCUACGGGAGGCAGCAGUGGGGAAUAUUGGACAAUGGGCGCAAGCCUGAUCCAGCCAUACCGCGUGGGUGAAGAAGGCCUUCGGGUUGUAAAGCCCUUUUGUUGGGAAAGAAAAGCAGCAGGUUAAUACCCCGCUGUUCUGACGGUACCCAAAGAAUAAGCACCGGCUAACUUCGU